rnacentral:rRNA from 1 species
AUACGUAGGUGGCAAGCGUUAUCCGGAUUUACUGGGCGUAAAGGGCGUGUAGGCGGUCUUGCAAGUCAGAAGUGAAAUUCCUGAGCUCAACUCGGGCGCUGCUUCUGAAACUGCAGGACUUGAGUGCUGGAGGGGAUAGCGGAAUUCCUAGUGGAGCGGUAAAAUGCGCAGAUAUUAGGAAGAACACCGGUGGCGAAGGCGGCUAUCUGGACAGUAACUGACGCUGAGGCGCGAAAGCGUGGGGAGCAAACAGGAUUAGAUACCCUAGUAGUCCACGCCGUAAACGAUGAGUACUAAGUGUCGGGUAACCGGUGCUGAAGUUAACACACUAAGUACUCCGCCUGAGUAGUACGGUCGCAAGGCUGAAACUCAAAUGAAUUGACGGGG